GUCAGCGAGUCGUGUUGUUCGUCGAUGUGCGCUAAUGUUUACAUUAUUUUGUGUUUCGUGCGGUAUUGCGUUAGAGUUCAAGUCAGCUAUUCGCCUGAGAUGGAGUCAUCGUUGUAAGAUGCUGUCUGCACUGACGGCUGUCAGACCAUAAGUGAUCCAUGGACACUGAGUGAGGGAGUUAGAUACAGCCAGUGGCGGCUCGUCAAUAGGGACUGUGAGUCUGCAGCCCCCCCUAUCAGACGCCAGCCACACAUAACGUCAUAACACAAACAAACACAUGGACAUGCAUGUGAAGAAACUCAUCACUGUGUCAGAGUGCUGAACUUAACAUUACACACAGUGAUACAAACGCCCUAGAACCAUGCAAAUUACAUUAAACACAACAUAAUUUUACGAAUGCGGGGAGAAAGGGGGAGGGCUUCCCGCGGCGGAAAGGAGAGCGUGGACUGCCGCCGACACAGUCUUGUCUCAGCUGUUGUUGUGAAUGGGUUGGCCUAGCAUUAUUUUGCAAAAUGGCACAAGAAGCAAAGACGGUUUCUGCACUGAAAGAACUAAAUUUUUCACUGUUAACACUUCAAGAGAAGGUAGCAAUUAAACAAGCAGGUCGCCCAUUACCAGAAAUUAAAAUUGUUCAAGAAGGAGUAAGCCACAACAAGAAGUAUAUUCGCAGUUUUAAUUGUGAUUGGUACCAAAGGAAAACAUGGCUUUGUGGAUGUGAAGUUAAGAAUGCACUAUUUUGCUUUCCAUGUCUGUUGUUUGGAGGCGAUUCAGUAUGGUCCAAAGAUGGUUUUGCAUACAUAAAGAACUUGAAAGAAAAAACAGAGAAACACGAGAAUUCCAGGAAACAUAUAGAUAAUGUCAUUUCUCUAUCUGUUCUUGGGAGUGUAAAUAUUAAAGAAAGACUUAGUGAGGCAUACAGACUUUCAGUGAACGCACAUAAUAAGAAGGUUACCAAGAAUCGUGAAAUUUUGUCCAAGAUUAUAGACUGCAUAAAAUUUUGUGGACAUUUUGAGCUACCUUUGGGUGGACAGGAUGAAACUGAUGACUCUGCUAAUCCAGGUGUAUUUAAAGGACUGAUAAAUCACGCAUCACAAUUAGAUCCAGACUUGCGGGCCCAUUUAGAAAGUAAUGCAGUCUUCAAAGGUGUCUCCAAGACUAUUCAGAAUGAA